rnacentral:rRNA from 1 species
CCUACGGGAGGCAGCAGUGAGGAAUAUUGGUCAAUGGGCGCUAGCCUGAACCAGCCAAGUAGCGUGAAGGAUGACUGCCCUAUGGGUUGUAAACUUCUUUUAUAUGGGAAUAAAGUGCAGUAUGUAUACUGCUUUGCAUGUACCUUAUGAAUAAGGAUCGGCUAACUCCGUGCCAGCAGCCGCGGUAAUACGGAGGAUCCGAGCGUUAUCCGGAUUUAUUGGGUUUAAAGGGAGCGUAGGCGGGUUGUUAAGUCAGUUGUGAAAGCUUGCGGCUCAACCGUAAAAUUGCAGUUGAUACUGGCAUCCUUGAGUACAGUAGAGGUAGGCGGAAUUCGUGGUGUAGCGGUGAAAUGCUUAGAUAUCACGAAGAACUCCGAUUGCGAAGGCAGCCUGCUGGACUGUAACUGACGCUGAUGCUCGAAAGUGUGGGUAGCAAACAGGAUUAGAUACCCGUGUAGUC